rnacentral:lncRNA from 1 species
GAAAGGGAUGUGAUCUAAUAAACAGAUGAGGUGACAGCCUCACUAGAUAUCCUGGGAAAUGGUGGACGGACCGGGUUCAUAAGGAACCCUACCGUGAACGUUGUCUCAUACCAGACAGGGUAUGGAGACUUGGUCAUUUGGCGCUCAUACCUAAUGGGGUAUGAGGACGGCCCGCUUCACCCUCAUACCGAAUGGGAUAUUGAGGUUUAAUGUUUUGGCACUCAUACCGGACGGGGUAUGGGGACGGUCAUAGAAUUAAGAUUGUUAAGAGAAAGGGUUCACGUGUAGCGGGGACACCCCUAUGGAUCCUCAUAGAUACUAGUAAGCUGGUGAAACAAGAAACGCUGAUGAUUAAUUAUUGUUAAUGAAUAUGAAUUUAUGAUAU